rnacentral:rRNA from 1 species
AAUCAACGCUGGCGGCGUGCCUAACACAUGCAAGUCGAACGAGAAAGUGACUUCGGUCACUGGAAAGUGGCGUCCGGGUGAGUAACACGUGGGUAAUCUACCCUCGGGUGGGAUAACGGAUCGAAGAUUCGCUAAUACCGCAUAAUGCAGCGGCACCUAAUGGUGAAUAGUUGUUAAAGCGGGGAGUCGCAGACUCGCGCCUGAAGAGGAGCCUGCGGCAGANAGUCUAGUUGG